rnacentral:rRNA from 1 species
GAUGAACGCUGGCGGCGUGCCUAAUACAUGCAAGUCGAGCGAACGGACUAGAAGCUUGCUUCUCUGAUGUUAGCGGCGGACGGGUGAGUAACACGUGGAUAACCUACCUAUAAGACUGGGAUAACUUCGGGAAACCGUAGCUAAUACCGGAUAAUAUUUUGAACCGCAUGGUUCAAAAGUGAAAGACGGUCUUGCUGUCACUUAUAGAUGGAUCCGCGCUGCAUUAGCUAGUUGGUAAGGUAACGGCUUACCAAGGCAACGAUGCAUAGCCGACCUGAGAGGGAGAUCGGCCACACUGGAACUGAGACACGGUCCAGACUCCUACGGGAGGCAGCAGUAGGGAAUCUUCCGCAAUGGGCGAAAGCCUGACGGAGCAACGCCGCGUGAGUGAUGAAGGUCUUCGGAUCGUAAAACUCUGUUAUUAGGGAAGAACAUAUGUGUAAGUAACUGUGCACAUCUUGACGGUACCUAAUCAGAAAGCCACGGCUAACUACGUG